rnacentral:rRNA from 1 species
GACGAAGGAUGCAAGCGUUAUCCGGAUUCAUUGGGUUUAAAGGGUGCGUAGGCGGACUUGUAAGUCAGUGGUGAAAUCUCUCAGCUUAACUGAGAAACUGCCAUUGAUACUGCAGGUCUAGAGUAUAGAUGAUCGUUGGCGGAAUAUGACAUGUAGUGGUGAAAUACUUAGAUAUGUCAUAGAACACCGAUUGCGAAGGCAGCUAACGAAACUAUAACUGACGCUGAGGCACGAAAGUGCGGGGAUCAAACAGG